UACGUAGGUGGCAAGCGUUGUCCGGAUUUAUUGGGUUUAAAGGGUGCGUAGGCGGUCAAUUAAGUCAGUGGUGAAAUAUGUCAGCUCAACUGAGAGGGUGCCAUUGAUACUGCAGAGCUUGAGUACAGAUGAGGUAGGCGGAAUUGACGGUGUAGCGGUGAAAUGCUUAGAUAUCGUCAAGAACACCUAUAGCGAAGGCAGCUUACUAGGCUGUAACUGACGCUGAGGCACGAAAGUGUGGGGAUCAAACAGG
rnacentral:rRNA from 1 species